rfam:Bacteroidetes bacterium 12B contig69576119, whole genome shotgun sequence.
GCCCAGGUGGCGGAAUUGGUAGACGCGCUGGUCUCAAACACCAGUGGUAGUGAUACUGUACCGGUUCGAUCCCGGUCCUGGGCA